GACGUGAGCUCUUCCUGUUCUGUUAGAGAAGGGGUGCAUAUUAUACACAAGGUUUAGGCUUUUGAGAGGUACAGCCCCCAAAAAAUCACCUGCGUAUUAUACUCAAGGGCGGACAAUAUACUCGAGGAUUUACGGUA